rnacentral:misc_RNA from 1 species
UUUCCGUAGGUGAACCUGCGGAAGGAUCAUUGUCGAAGCCUGCCCAGCAGAACGACCCGCGAACUUGUAUAAACAACCGGGGGCAGGGGCGAUCUCGCCCCGUCCCCUCGAACGGCAGGGAGACACUCGUGCCUUCUUGUCGAACAACGAACCCCGGCGCGGUCUGCGCCAAGGAACUUCAAUUAAAGAGUGCCUCCGGUCGCCUCGGAAACGAUGCGCGUGUCGGAGGCGAAUCUUGUACAAAACCAUAACGACUCUCGGCAACGGAUAUCUCGGCUCUC